UACAGAGGUCUCAAGCGUUGUUCGGAUUCAUUGGGCGUAAAGGGUGCGUAGGCGGCGCGGUAAGUCGGGUGUGAAAUCUCGGAGCUUAACUCCGAAACUGCAUUCGAUACUGCCGGUGCUUGAGGACUGGAGAGGAGACUGGAAUUUCAUGGUGUAGCAGUGAAAUGCGUAGAGAUCAUGAGGAAGACCAGUGGCGAAGGCGGGUCUCUGGACAGUUCCUGACACUGAGACACGAAGGCCAGGGGAGCAAACGGG
rnacentral:rRNA from 1 species